AUUAAAACAUGGGGGCAGUUUCCGCAUACGGUUCUCAUGGUAGUGAGUAAGUCUCACGAGAUCUGAUGGUUUUAUAAAUGGGAGUUCCGCUGCGCAAGCUCUCUUGCCUGCCGCUGUGUAGCAUGUGACUUCGCUGUUCUUUGGCCUUCCACCAUGAUUGUGAGACCUCCUCAGCCAUGUGGAACUAUCUCUUGGGGCUGCCUGUAGGUGGAUAUGUUCAUGGAAGACGGUGAAAAAGACAAGAAUAGGAUUUGCUGUAUAGAAUCACUAUAGUCACCAUCACACUGAGUAUCAACAACAUCUCUUGUUAUCCUCACAACUGUGCAAAACAGAUAUCCGACAGAGAGAAAGAGAAUGUGAUUGACUCUUAACUAGAGUCACGCACCACUCUGGAUCAAUCAUCUGAGGCCUGGGAGAAGUGUCAUAACACAGAUUUUCCAGCCUCCAUGCAAAUCCUUACUCUGAGAUCCUGGAACUCAUCUUCUGCCCCACCCUACACCACUUCUUGCUGGGCUGUCUACAGGGACACAUUCCUGUUGUUUCAGCCCAGCCUCUUCCUUGGGACCCAGAAUAAGCAUGGAUCCACCGUGGACACACCGAGGCUCAGAAACAGCUCUCCUGCUCCCAGCCUGACCCCAGCAGGAUGGAAUGACCAGACCCCCUCCUUCCUGGCCUCCAUCAGUGGAUAAAGAUGCCACAGGCAUGGACACAGGAGCCCCUCGAUUCCCAAGUGUACUCUGAUAGUACAAAGUGCUGACAAUUUCAAGGAGGGUUUUCUUUUUGUUGUUGUUGUUU
rnacentral:lncRNA from 10 species